UACGUAGGGGGCAAGCGUUGUCCGGAUUUAUUGGGCGUAAAGAGCGUGUAGGCGGCCACACAGGUCAGCUGUGAAAACUCGAGGCUCAACCUCGAGACGUCGGUUGAAACCGUAUGGCUAGAGUCCGGAAGAGGAGAGUGGAAUUCCCGGUGUAGCGGUGAAAUGCGCAGAUAUCGGGAAGAACACCCGUGGCUAAGGCGGUUCUCUAGUACGGUACUGACGCUGAGACGCGAAAGCGUGGGGAGCGAACGAGG
rnacentral:rRNA from 1 species